UCCCUCUGUUUAUGUUCAGGCUGAUGUUU
rnacentral:piRNA from 1 species